rnacentral:lncRNA from 1 species
AUCGAGUGCUGUGGAGGGCUUUUGGGGCUGUAACGUGACGUGGGGCACUGCCAGCGCGACGUGGGGGCGUAUCGAGGAACGCGAAAGCCCAGAGGCAAGGAGGAGACUUGCUGUUCUCUGCUAACUGCUUUUAUCCAUGUGUCUUUAAACCACUGUGUGCCCUGGAUAUGUUGGCCACGCAGGCAGAGGAGUUUUUCUGAGCGUGCCAGGGGGGCACAUCCAGCCUGCCGCCCUUUUGUGCGGAGCCAGAUGCUGAAGAAAAACAGAAGGAAGUUGCAAUUGCUGCAAUACUCUUUUGUCCUUGCUGGAGGCCUUCAGGGAAAAAUCAGGGGAAGGGAAUUCCCAGCUUGGCACUAGCUUCUUUACUGAAGACAAAACUGAUACUUCUAGAAGGAUUGUUUUAUUCUUCUUUUACUACAUGGAUAAGAUGUUUGUAAUGCAGGGGUUUUUAUGGUCAGUUUGAACAUCCCUACUGCUGGACUUCCUACAGUUCUUCCUUAAAACUGUGUGUGUGUUUUCAGAUGAAUCUGGAGCAGGAGAGAAGUCUCAGAUUAACUUCUGAAAAAUGUGAUGAAAAAUCAGUGGCUGAACAGGGAAGAAAUACUCCGGUUAGUGCCCUCGUCGGGCAGGAAACACACAGAUCUGCUUGGAUGAUGAGGAAGAUGAAGUGUUCCUGGGAACUCUUCAGGCRAGGCGGCAGCAAGGGAGAGAAAGCAGCUGGUGAAAAUGCAAGGAUGCUUCCCAAAACCACUCGGGAGGAAGGAAACAAGCAGGAAGCAAAGAAGAGAGGGAAACUGAAAAAUGUGGCAGGCAAAUUGCUAAAGGCUAUUGCUAGUGGGAAAGAAGCAGAAGAAAAGAAGCCUGAAAAUGAGAAUUUGGCAGGGAAUUUGCUGAAGAUUGCAACAUGUAGGAAGGAAGUAGAAGGAAAGAAGUCUGCAGAGGAAACCAUCUGUGGAUUCAUUGAGCAAGGGAAAUUUUUUCAAGCCUGUAAACAUAUUUAUAAUCUGGAGCAUUCUGGAAGUGAUGGUAUGGGAAAGUCUGAAUCCCUUUAUAAACUACUGGCUGAACGGAUGUGGUCCAUCGUGGGAAAAGCAUUCAGUGGAAGCGACAGGAUGUUACUGGAGCCGUUGCAGUCAGUGGGCGAAUCACUGAAGUGGGAGAAGCAGAAGAAAGAGGAGUGGUUUGGUAGAAGACAAGGGCUGGAGACUCUUUCCACCUGGAGUCCAAGAUUCUGGAAGAAAGACCUAGAGAAAAAGCUAAUAAAGUACAUGACAGUCCAGAUUCCUCCCUUUGGUUCCACUAGUAACACAGACGAGACUGCAUUAAAACAGCAUCUGAGUCAACUGGAAAUGACAUUUCUGCCCAGCCUGGAGCGCAAAAGUGGUUUCUUCGAGGAAGCAGGCCUGCUUGUCAUGUAUGCCCGGUGCUUUCAUGCCUGCUUGUCUUCUCAUCUUUCCACCCUUACCGACAAUAACCAUGUUAGCUUCAGCCAAUGUCUUUUAGUUUAUGAAUGGUGUCUUAACAUGUACAAAAGUGGCAACAGGACAUUGCUGGGACCCAGCCAGACCCCACACCACCGCCUUUCCCUUGACGCACAGUGCCUCAUGCGGAUUAUUUUGAAGACAGAGGAAAAGUUACUUGCAAUCACCCAGAAGGAGGUAGGGGAAGCCCUGAAAGAAGCCUUUGACAUUGGGAAACCCCCUUGUGCCAGUGCUGCAGUCAUUCAGGUAUUAACAGAGAAGACAGAGGCUGCCCAGCGCAUCAGUGAGAGCCUGAGGGAGCGAGUGGGAGCUGUGUGCCUGGAGGAGUGCCUGAGCUUCCUCGAGAGCUAUGGAAAUGAAAUAAGAAGCUUUCUCCAGCUCCAUGGCGGCCUUGGGGUCUGCAGCAGCCUACAAAUCCUCGAGAACUGCUACAUUCUCAGAGCUGCCUGGCAUAAGCUAACGUAUGUUUGCAGUGCCAGCACUGGUCAGGAUGUUAAGGUAAAAGGAUUUCUAGACCAGAUAGAGGAUGAGACUGUAGAACAUCUUCUGCAGAUAAUCACUUCUAAAGUCAAGAUUCUUGUUAAGGCUGUCAACGUCACCAUUAUUACAGAAUAUGUGCGGGCCCUCCUGACCAUUUCCAGGAAACCAUCUUCUAGGCAGAGGAGGAGGAUUGUCAGCAAAAUAGAAGAAGAUCAUAGGAUGCUGCAAACCAUCUUUAAAGAGUGCUUAGGUCCUAAAGAAGGUUCCCUCAAGGAUCCAAUAAAAGCAAUUCUAGGACUUAUUCAAACUUCUGAUGCUGAGGGAAUGAAAAUAGCCCUUCUGCCCAUUCUCAGAGAAUUUCCUGAUCUAAGGUGGCCAAAGGGUGUUGAAAAGCAGUUCGACAGCUUCCAGACUUUGGUUUGGCCCAGCAAAACUGGGUCCUAG